UUAGAUGGCUAUACCUCCAGGUCAGAUCUCUUUUUCUAAGCAGGGCUGGGCCUGGUUAGUACUUGGAAGGGAGGCCGCUGGGAAUACCAGGUGCCACAGAAG
rnacentral:rRNA from 1 species